rnacentral:rRNA from 1 species
UACAGAGGUCUCAAGCGUUGUUCGGAUUCAUUGGGCGUAAAGGGUGCGUAGGUGGUGCUGUAAGUCAGGUGUGAAAUCUCGGGGCUCAACCCCCGAAACUGCACUUGAUACUGCGGUGCUCGAGGACUGGAGAGGAGAUCGGAAUUCAUGGUGUAGCAGUGAAAUGCGUAGAUAUCAUGAGGAAGACCAGUGGCGAAGGCGGAUCUCUGGACAGUUCCUGACACUGAGGCACGAAGGCCAGGGGAGCAAACGGG